rnacentral:tRNA from 1 species
GGAGCAAAUGUAGCUCAGUGGUUGAGUGCCUGCUUCUCAUGUAUGAAGUCCUGGGUUCAAUCCCCAGCACCUCCU